UACAGAGGUCUCGAGCGUUAGGCGGAAUCACUGGGCUUAAAGCGUGUGUAGGUGGAUCGUUAAGUACCUUGUGAAAUCCCACGGCUUAACCGUGGAACUGCUUGGUAUACUGGCGGUCUUGAGCCAGCUAGGGGCUACCGGAACAAAUGGUGGAGCGGUGAAAUGCGUAGAUAUCGCCUGGAACGCCGACGGUGGAAAACAGCUCGCUGGGGGUGUUCUGACGCUGAGACACGAAAGCCAGGGGGAGCGAACGGGG
rnacentral:rRNA from 1 species